UACGGGGGGGGCAAGCGUUGUUCGGAAUUACUGGGCGUAAAGGGCUCGUAGGCGGCCAACUAAGUCAGACGUGAAAUCCCCAGGCUUAACCUGGGAACUGCGUCUGAUACUGGAUGGCUUGAGAUUGGGAGAGGGAUGCGGAAUUCCAGGUGUAGCGGUGAAAUGCGUAGAUAUCUGGAGGAACACCGGUGGCGAAGGCGGCCUUCUGGACAGUGACUGACGCUGAGACGCGAAAGCGUGGGGAGCAAACAGG
rnacentral:rRNA from 1 species